ACGAUAAAGGCGGAAGCAAUCCUCGAUGCCCAAGGAGUUCGGGAAGCAAUAGAGCCAGCGAGAGGAGCCGAAGUGGAUGUGAAGAAAGACAAGAAGGCACGUUCAUACAUUCUCCAAUGCAUCCCGGAAGAUGUGCUUCUACAAAUCGCUAAAAAGAAGACCGCAAAGGAAAUAUGGGAUAGUCUCAAGACAAGGUACUUGGGCAGUGAGCGGGUGAAGAUGGCAAGAGUUCAAACCUUGAAGAGUGAGUUUAGUGUUCUUCGGAUGAAGGAAACCGAGACGAUCGAUGAGUUCGCAGGAAAAAUCAGCGGAUUAGCAAGCAAGUUCACUACCCUCGGAGUUGCACUUGAGGAUUCAUCAUUGGUCAAGAAGCUCCUCGAUUCCGUCCCCGACAAAUAUCUUCCCAUUGUUGUUGGAAUUGAGCAAUUUCAAGAUCUCGAAACCAUGCCGUUUGAAGAAGCAAUUGGACGGAUGAAGGCGUACGAGGAACGAACAACACGACUUCGAGAAAACAAUAACAACACCGAUGGACAACUCCUACUUACCCAUGUCGAAUGGAAAGCUAGACAAAAAGGACAUAGUGGUGAUAACUCCUCGAUGAACAAAGGGCGCAGAUUUGGUGGUACCGAUCGAGGAAGAUGGCGAGGACGUGGUCGUGGCCGUGGUCGUGGCACUGAGCGUCAAAAUUGUGCGGGAGGCACUAGCAACACUGGAAAUGGCACUCGUGAUAAAAGUCACAUUAAGUGUUUCACUUGCAACAAGAUGGAACAUUACGCGUCAUAAUGUCGUGGAAAAGGUCGUGACGAGGAAGCUCAUCUAACUUGUGCCGCCAAAGAAGAGCCGGCUUUGAUGAUGGCCAUGUCCCAGGAGGGGACACGCACUAGAUGUGAUCAGGAGGAUGCCAUACUACUCAACAAAGAGCGGUUGUUGCCAGAGAUGUAUUGCAACGACAAGAAUGGAGAAAAUAAUGACGUUUGGUAUCUAGACAACGGUGCUAGUAACCACAUGACUGGCCAUCGUGAGAAGUUCCAAGAAUUAGAUGAAAGCUUCACUAGGAGGGUGAAGUUUGGCGAUGGAUCAACCAUUCAGAUCAUGGGAAAAGGAACAGUCAUGUUCGAGUGCAAGAACGGUGAUCAGAAGGCUCUCCAAGAGAUAACAUUCCAAAAUUAUGUAGUAACAUCAUAAGCCUCGGACAAAUGACAGAAAACGAAAACAAGGUGCAAAUGAUAGAAGAUAUCAUGAAAGUGUCUGAUAGGAGUGUGAAGCUUUUGAUGUCGGUGAAGCGAACUCAUAAUCGUUUGUACAAGAUAACUUUGAAGACACUCAAGCAAGUCUGCCUUCUGACAAGCCUAGAAGAUCCAACAUGGUUAUGGCACGUGAGACUUGGCCAUGUAAAUUUUCAUGACUUGAAGCUCAUGGGGGAGAAGAAAUUAGUAGUUGGAGUACCACUAGUGACUCAACCGAACAAGUUAUGUAAAGCGUGCGUGAUUACCAAACAAGCCAGAUUGCCCUUCCCCCGUCAAUCAACAUAUAGAGUAGAGAAGCCAUUAGAACUCCUCCAUGCUGAUAUAUGUGGACCGAUUUCACCAUGUACUCUUGCUGGAAACAAGUAUCUUCUGUUGAUCGUUGACGAUUCCACGAGAUGGAUGUAGCUGUAUAUGUUGGAGGCAAAAAGUGACGCAUUUGCAGCAUUCAAGAAAUUCAAACUAUUAAUGGAGAAUAAGACGGAGUACAAGAUCAGAACGCUCCGGACGGAUCAAGGUGGUGAGUUCUUAUCUGUAGAGUUCACUCAAUUUUGCAAAAAAUAAGGAAUCGAACGACACCUCACCGCUCCAUAUUCACCACAACAAAAUGGCAUUGUAGAGCGUCGCAACCGCACCGUAAUGGCGAUGACGAGAUCACUCCUCAAAAGCAUGAAUGUGAUAGAACUAAGUCAUGCACAGCGGAAAAAGAAUCGAAUUUCUACCCUAAUUGCCACAAUUAACAUGUAACCAUAAACUAAUCAAAUUAGGGUUUUAAGAAAUAUUACCUUUGAAGUUUUCAAAAGGUUUGAUAUCUUCUUACCAAUUCUAACCGAGACCACCAUUAGUACUCAACUGCUAUCCUCUAGACAAAGAACCGGGUUGUGGGACCCAAUUUUGGUGUAGAAAAUAAUGGAGAUAAAAUGAGAUUGGAAGGUUUUUUUUUCUUUUGUUGAGAUGAUGAAAAUGAUAAAAGAGGCAAAAGUUCUUCAACAUUUGAAAACACCUCUAUUUAUAAGCCUAAUUACAUGCAAAAAUGCAUGCAAUUCAUUUCCCAAAUCUCCACCUAAUGUUCCACUAACAAUUAGUGGAACUUAGUGGGCUAGGUGUCUAUAUCUCAUAUAGCCACAUAUCCCACUAAGAG
rnacentral:lncRNA from 1 species